rnacentral:rRNA from 1 species
UACGGAGGGUGCGAGCGUUAAUCGGAAUCACUGGGCGUAAAGCGCGCGUAGGCGGCUUUUCAAGUCAGGGGUGAAAUCCCACGGCCCAACCGUGGAACUGCCUUUGAAACUGUAGAGCUUGGGUGUCGGAGAGGGUGGCGGAAUUCCAGGUGUAGGAGUGAAAUCCGUAGAUAUCUGGAGGAACACCGGUGGCGAAGGCGGCCACCUGGACGACAACUGACGCUGAGGUGCGAAAGCGUGGGUAGCAAACAGG